rnacentral:rRNA from 1 species
GACGUAGGGGACGAGCGUUGCUCGGAAUCACUGGGCGUAAAGCGCACGUAGGCGGAUCUUUAAGUCAGGGGUGAAAUCCUGGAGCUCAACUCCAGAACUGCCUUUGAUACUGAGGAUCUUGAGUUCGGGAGAGGUGAGUGGAACUGCGAGUGUAGAGGUGAAAUUCGUAGAUAUUCGCAAGAACACCAGUGGCGAAGGCGGCUCACUGGCCCGAUACUGACGCUGAGGCACGAAAGCGUGGGGAGCAAACAGG